rnacentral:rRNA from 1 species
GACGAACGCUGGCGGCGUGGAUUAGGCAUGCAAGUCGAACGGUAUCAUCCUUUCGGGGGUGAGAGAGUGGCGAACUGGUGAGUAACACGUAGGUUAUCUACCCUCAAGACGGGGACAACCCAGGGAAACUUGGGCUAAUACCGGAUGAGAGUGCGAGAGAUUGCAUUUAAAAGGAUGGCGAAAGUUGUCGCUUAGGGAUGAGCCUGCGGUCUAUUAGUUAGUUGGUGAGGUAAGAGCUCACCAAGGCGAUGAUAGAUAGGCGGCCUUAACGGGUGGUCGCCCACACUGGGAUUGAGAUACGGCCCAGACUCCUACGGGAGGCAGCAGUCGAGAAUAGUCUACAAUGGCCGGAAGGCUGAUAGUGCGACGCGCGUGAACGAGGGAGCCCGUUCGGGGUGUAAAGUUCUUUUCUAUUACGAGCAGUGCUAUAUAUAUGGAUAGUAUAUAUAGAGGAUAGUAGUAUAGGAAUAAGCAACGGCUAACGUCCGUCGCCAGCAGCCGAC